rnacentral:rRNA from 1 species
GAUUAAUACCGGAUGUGGCUGUUUUUCCGCAUGGUUUUACAGCUGAAGUUUUUUCGCUUCGAGAUGGGCUCGCGUUCCAUCAGCUAGUUGGUGAGGUAACGGCUCACCAAGGCAGCGACGGAUAGGUGGUCUGAGAGGAUGGUCACCCACACUGGGACUGAGACACUGCCCAGACUCCCACGGGAGGCUGCAGUCGAGAAUCUUCCGCAAUGCGCGAAAGCGUGACGGAGCGAUGCCGCGUGCCGGAUGAAGGCCUUCGGGUCGUAAACGGCUGUCACCCGGAACGAAUAUUGACGGUACCGGGAGAGGAAGCCACGGCUAACUACGUGCCAGCAGCCGCGGUAAUACGUAGGUGGCUAGCGUUAUUCGGAUUUAUUGGGCGUAAAGGGUUCGUAGGGGGCCGAGUAAGUCUGAUGUGAAAUCCAACGGCUCAACCGUUGAACUGCAUUGGAUACUACCCGGCUAGAGUACUGGAGAGGUAAGCAGAAUUCCUGGUGUAGCGGUGGAAUGCGUAGAUAUCAGGAGGAAUACCGACGGCGAAGGCAGCUUACUGGACAGUUACUGACCCUCAUGAACGAAAGCUAGGGGAGCAAACAGGAUUAGAUACCCUGGUAGUCCUAGCUGUAAACGUUGUUCACUAGAUGUAGGCGGAUUGGUCCCGUCUGUGUCCAAGCUAACGUGAUAAGUGAACCGCCUGGGGAGUACGGCCGCAAGGCUAAAACUCAAAGGAAUUGACGGGGGCCCGCACAAGCGGUGGAGCAUGUGGCUUAAUUCGAGGCAACGCGAAGAACCUUACCUGGGUUUGACAUAUAUCUGACCGCCAUGGAAACAUGGUUUCUCUUCGGAGCAGAUAUACAGAUGCUGCAUGGCUGUCGUCAGCUCGUGCCGUGAGGUGUUCGGUUAAGUCCGGCAACGAGCGCAACCCGUGCUGCUAGUUACCAGCGAGUAAUGUCGGGGACUCUAGCAGGACUGCCCGUGCUAAGCGGGAGGAAGGCGCGGACGACGUCAAGUCAGUAUGGCUCUUACACCCAGGGCUGCACACGUGCUACAAUGACCGGUACAAUGGGAUGCCACUCUGCGAAAAGGCGCCAAUCUCUAAAACCGGCCCCAGUUCAGAUUGGAGUCUGCAACUCGACUCCAUGAAGUCGGAAUCGCUAGUAAA